GCCAGAGUGGUGGAAGGGUAGACACACCGCGAUUCGGGAUCCGGCGCUUCGGCAUGAGGGUUUGAGUCCCUCCUUUGGCA
rnacentral:tRNA from 1 species